rnacentral:rRNA from 1 species
CGCUGGCGGCGUGCUUAACACAUGCAAGUCGAGCGAGGAACUUCGGUUCCUAGCGGCGAACGGGUGAGUAACACGUGGGCAACCUGCCCCGAGCUCUGGGAUAACUUCGGGAAACCGGGGCUAAUACCGGAUAUGACACUACUGGACAUCUGGUGGUGUGGAAAGAUUUAUCGGCUUGGGAUGGGCCCGCGGCCUAUCAGCUUGUUGGUGGGGUAACGGCCUACCAAGGCGACGACGGGUAGCCGGCCUGAGAGGGCGAUCGGCCACACUGGGACUGAGACACGGCCCAGACUCCUACGGGAGGCAGCAGUGGGGAAUAUUGCGCAAUGGGCGGAAGCCUGACGCAGCGACGCCGCGUGGGGGAUGAAG